GUUGGAGAGAGCAUUGUGGAAAAAGUUCAGAACAUAAAGAACCUUCGGUUCUCCAACUUCUUCUAGUAUCACUCCUUGGAGAUGGUUGCACGACAAGUUGAUCAAGGUAGUACUGCUUAGAAGGGGAGAUCUGUUGGACCUUGGGCACGAUGGAGCUAAUUAUGGAAAAGAGUAUUGCAACCAAUGCUAUUGCCGCUGAUCAAGAGAUUGGUCUGACUACCGCUCAGAAUCAAACAUCCACCACGAGAGGCACUGAGGGUAAGAUAGGGGCAUGAUGGCUGACGAGAUGGAGAACAAUGAAGAAGAUAGAAGUGACCAGGCAUCAAGGGCAGGACGAUGACGUGGUGGAUCUGGUGCAUGGAGAUAUGAUGCAGGGAAUAUUCUUUUUUCCCAUGCACGGAACAUAUAAGUUAAAAACCUUUCGAAUAUGCACAGGUCGAGGGUGAAACUGAUCGAAGGAGAGUCCCUGAGCUUGAAGACUCUAUCUAGGGCAAACCCUGGACACUCCAUUCAAAGAUUGACUCUCCAAAACCCUAGCCGCAUGCUGGCCGCCAGGCCUUAAAAUCUAUAUAAACUUGUUUUCAUUUCAUAUUUAGUGUCUGCGUAUUGAGGGAAGCAAGUGGUGUGCCACAAAAUAAUUUCUUUUAAUUUUCUGCAUUUGGUAUUUGAAGUCCUGACUUGGGAAAAACAUUUAGAUUAUAUUAUUUUGUCGGUAGUGAAGACGUUUUGCCUUAUUUCUGUUUUAAUAGUAAGUACUAUUUAUUUUGUUUCUA